AAAACAUCGCCUCCUGCAACACAACCAAGUAUAGGAGGUCCAGCCUGCCCAGUGACUGCAAGUUCAACGGCCGCGGUAUUUUGACCGUGCAAAGGUAGCGCAAUCACUUGUCUUUUAAAUAGAGACCUGUAUGAAUGGCUAAACGAGGGCUUAACUGUCUCCCCUUUCAAGUCAGUGAAAUUGAUCUACCCGUGCAGAAGCGGGUAUAAUUAUACAAGACGAGAAGACCCUUUGGAGCUUAAGGUACAAAACUCAACCACGUUAAGCAACUUAAUGAAAAGCAUAAACUUUAUGGAAUAUGAUAUUUUACCUUCGGUUGGGGCGACCGCGGAAGAAAAAAGAUCCUCCGAGUGGGCCGGGACAAACCUCCUAAAACCAAGAGAGACACCUCUAAGCCACAGAACAUCUGACCAAACAUGAUCCGGCCAAUAAAGCCGAUCAACGAACCAAGUUACCCUAGGGAUAACAGCGCAAUCCUCUCCCAGAGUCCAUAUCGACGAGAGGGUUUACGACCUCGAUGUUGGAUCAGGACAUCCUAAUGGUGCAGCCGCUAUUAAGGGUUCGUUUGUUCAACGAUUAAAGUCCUACGUGA
rnacentral:rRNA from 1 species